ACUCCUACGGGAGGCAGCAGUAGGGAAUCUUCCACAAUGGGCGCAAGCCUGAUGGAGCAACACCGCGUGAGUGAAGUAAGGGUUUCGGCUCGUAAAGCUCUGUUGUUAAAGAAGAACACGUAUGAGAGUAACUGUUCAUACGUUGACGGUAUUUAACCAGAAAGUCACGGCUAACUACGUGCCAGCAGCCGCGGUAAUACGUAGGUGGCAAGCGUUAUCCGGAUUUAUUGGGCGUAAAGAGAGUGCAGGUCGGUUUUUCUAAGUCUUGAGUUCGAGAGAGGUGAGUGGAAUUCCGAGUGUAGAGGUGAAAUUCGUAGAUAUUCGGAGGAACACCAGUGGCGAAGGCGGCUCACUGGCUCGAUACUGACGCUGAGGUGCGAAAGCGUGGGAGCAAACAGGAUUAGAUACCCGUGGUAGGUGAC
rnacentral:rRNA from 1 species